rnacentral:rRNA from 1 species
AAGGGACGGAGGGAAUGGCCUUCGUCCGCGCGAGGAUGGGGCUGCGUCCCAUCAGGCAGUUGGUGGGGUAAUGGCCCACCAAACCUAUAACGGGUACGGGCCGUGAGAGCGGGAGCCCGGAGAUGGGCACUGAGACAAGGGCCCAGGCUCUACGGAGCGCACCAAGCGCGAAACCUUCGCAAUGCGGGAAACCGUGACGGGGCCAUCCCGAGUGCAGGCUGCUGAGGUCUGCUUUUGCCCAGUGUAAGAAGCUGGGCGAAUAAGUGGGGGGCAAGACUGGUGUCAGCCGCCGCGGUAAUACCAGCUCCACGAGUGGUCAGGACGGUUAUUGGGCCUAAAGCGUCCGUAGCCGGCCCGGUAAGUUUAUGGUGAAAUCCGGCAUCUCAAGUGUCGGAGCGCUGUAAAUACUGCCGGGCUAGGGAGCGGGAGAGGCCGAGGGUACCUCCGGGGUAGGGGCGAAAUCCUAUAAUCCCGGAGUGACGACCAGUGGCGAAAGCGCUCGGCUAGAACGCGUCCGACGGUGAGGGACGAAAGCUGGGGUAGCAAACCGGAUUAGAUACCUGGGUAGUCCCAGCCGUAAACUAUGAAGGCUAGUUGUCGGAACGGCUUAGGGCCGCUCCGGUAACGCAGGGAAGCCAUUAAGCCCGACGCCUGGGGAAUAGGACCGCAAGGUUGAAACUUAAAAGAAUUGGCGGGGGAGCACCACAAGGGGUGAAGCUUGCGGCUCAAUG